GCUGAAACUUACACCACCACAGAGGCCAUUGUCUCCACGGAAACUGUGUUCAUUGUACAGUUUACACUCACCUGCAAAAAUAAAGUCAGGGACAUGAAUCUGUAUGCUGAUAUCAAUGGUAGAACUUUACCUGUCACCAAGACUGACAAACCUGAUUUGUACCAGGUUAGCAUCAGUGAUGAUCAUAAAAAGCUGUCCUCUGGUAAAUAUGAGGUUCGCCUGUAUGAUGAGGAGGGAUACUCCAUGCUGAGAAAGGCCCAGAGAAGUGGAGAGUCUGUAGAUUCUGUCAAACCAGUUACCUCUAUCACAUUUAACCACCCAGGAGUUUCUAAAGGUCCUUUUGUGCAGAGUGAGUUUGUUGCUGUGGUUAUCGCUGUCCUUGUCUGGUAUUUUGCCUACAGCACCAGAAGUCAACUCCAGUCAUCAAACUAGGAACAAAUUUUUGAUAUUUACAAUAAAUUUUAAAAGACAUCAUUAGAAGAGAAAUUAAAUUUUAUACAUUUUUUUUUUCUUUAUUGAAGUAUUUUCCACCUGCCAUCAUCAAUAUUUUAUAAUAAAAACCAUUCCAUCUAUAAA
rnacentral:misc_RNA from 1 species